rnacentral:rRNA from 1 species
UACAGAGGGUGCAAGCGUUGUUCGGAAUUAUUGGGCGUAAAGGGCGCGUAGGCGGUGCGGUAAGUCUGUAGUGAAAUCUCUGGGCUCAACUCAGAGUCUGCUGCAGAAACUGCCGUGCUUGAGUGUGGGAGAGGUGAGUGGAAUUCCCGGUGUAGCGGUGAAAUGCGUAGAUAUCGGGAGGAAUACCUGUGGCGAAAGCGGCUCACUGGACCACAACUGACGCUGAGGCGCGAAAGCUAGGGGAGCAAACAGG